GUGGUUUGGAACAGGGCAGGGAUGGAGGGAAGGUCCUUGUAUCUUAGACAUCAAAAUCCCAGGAAAAUAAUUAGGAGGUGUUUGGGAUUCUGCUGAAAACUCUGACAACAGAGGGCGAGAAACGGACAGAGCGGAGCUUCAGGGAAAUGCCUGUGGUGAGCUGGAUACAGAGGAUCUCAGAAGGAGAAGAAGCCAGAGGAGUAGGCUGGCCCAGAGCCCAGGUCAUUGAGUCAUGAGGAAUGGCCUUCCGGGAUGGGAAGGGGCUGCUGUCUCUGGACUCUUGCUGAGGACCAGAAAUAUCUCCAAGAGCACCAGCAACCCCAGCUAUCUAGACCCGAAGUGGAUAUACUCAGAGGCAUCCUGGCCUACCCCACCCCUGACCCCAGAGAAGAUGCUGCUGCCCUCAGAAGACGCCAGAGCCAGCCACACUGCAAGUCUGGGAGGAUCGAGCAAGGCAGGCUGCUCAGUGAAGGCUUCCUCUCCUGUAGCAGGAAGAGCAUCGUUAAGAACAAGUAUGCAGGGCUGGACUACUCUGGAGAUGUAAUGACCAGAGCUGAGACCCCCGAGACCAGAGUGACUAUGAAGGACUGUCGUCACCUUGUUCCUGAACAUCUAAUGCCUCUCAGCUCCAGGAGGCCACUGAGGAGAAACCGAAGGCUAGUUUUCCUUGGAAGCCAGCAGCCUGUCCACCUGUUCCACUUCCCUGCCUCUUGCAGCCUCCGCUCAAACACUACCAUGGUUUGGGAGCACGGAAAAACUAGAAAAUACAGAAAUAUAUCAAGAAGAAAGAAAUUUAAAAAUCAACCUGAAUCCCACCAACCAGAGACAGCUAUUAAUGAUUGUGGUAUAUUUAUUCAGGUUGGACUUUAUAUCAAAGCUAUUCUGAUGUCACCUUUCCCAAUGUUAAGGAUGUUAAUGAGAAUUGCUAAUCCAAGAGAAGCAAAUAAUCGCAUCUGAUUUGGGUAAGUCAAUUAUUUGAAAGUAGAAGAAUCACCCUUCCACCUAAGGAACCUCUGAGGGAAGUACUGGAAAAAUAAUGCUUUGUAAUAAGCC
rnacentral:lncRNA from 1 species